GCCUGGGUGGCUCAGUGGGUUAAGCAUCUGACUCUUGAUUUCAGCUCAGGUCAUGAUCUCACAGUUUGUGGGUUCGAGCCCCACAUCAGGCU
rfam:Felis catus isolate Cinnamon breed Abyssinian chromosome X, whole genome shotgun sequence.